rnacentral:rRNA from 1 species
CGCGCAGGCGGUUUCUUAAGUCAGAUGUGAAAGCCCGGGGCUCAACCCCGGAAGUGCAUUUGAAACUAAGGGACUUGAGUAUGGGAGAGGGAAGUGGAAUUCCUGGUGUAGCGGUGAAAUGCGUAGAUAUCAGGAGGAACACCGGUGGCGAAGGCGACUUCCUGGACCAAUACUGACGCUGAGGCGCGAAGGCGUGGGGAGCAAACA